rnacentral:lncRNA from 1 species
AUCAAUGCAGCUCCUCUGAUGCAAAAAAUAAAGAUAAGUCCUUCACUGCAGCAACUCUCUGGAAUGCUCCAAGGAUUCAGCUGGAGUGAGUGAACCCCAUUUUUACCAAGGGAUGCAACAGCAACAAAAGUCAGUGCACCGGCAAGCGGGAUUUAUCUUCCUCUUUCAAGAAAAAAUGCAUCCGAAAGUCCAUCUACGCGUAUUUCAGCCUUUCCAUUGAUGCCUCUCCCUUCCUACAUAGCGAAGGGGUAGAAGGAAGGAAGGAAGGAAAGAAAAGAGGGAGGCUGCCUAGCUACUGGGAUUCUGCAUCAGACAAAAAAAAAAAAAAAGAGAGGAAGGAAAAAUCUGCUUCAGCAGCGGCAGCGCCUCAGAAAGGAAGGAGAAAUUCCAGCGAAACUCCGCAAGCUCAUCCUGCCCCUUCCCCACAAAAAAAGCCCCAAGCCCGGGCGAGGGGAGCAGCGAGGGCAGCGACCCCCGCCCCUCUCCCGGCCAAGCCCCCCGGGCUGCGGCUGCACCAGAGCCCCGCUGCCCCCCCGCACUGGCACCGACAGGGAACCGGCCCCCGGAGGGAUCGGGGGCUAUUUUAAUUCAGUUCCCUUUUCUAUCCCUUCCCUUUUCCACUUAACUACGACGCCAGAGAGCGGCAGGACCGGCACACGCCGCCCGGCCCCGCAGCCUCGCCCUUCCCCCGCGCUGGCCGCUCCCCUCAGGCUCCGCUCUCCCCUCGCCGCUCCCGGAGCGCCCCCCGACCCCUCCCCAGCUGUUCUCCUGCCGCUCCGCCACCGCUGCCGCGGCACCAGCUCCGCUCCCCACCCCCGUCCUCCCCAACUGCGGGGCCACCUCGCCUCAACCAGCGCGGCCCCGCCGCAUCGCUCGCCCCGUCCUCGUCCUCCUUCCCUCCCUGCCUGCCUCCCGCUCUCCCUGCCCGGCGGCCGGCCCCAGCGUGCGGAUCCCUCCGCCCGGAGCCCGGUAUCCCUCCGCCGCCGCUCGGGGAUGGCGGCGCGAUUGGAAAGGGGCGGGGCCGCGGCCAAACCGCUGCAGGACUCGCGCCCGGCGCGCGCGCGCGCGCGAUGCGGGCUGCGGGCACCGCUCAGCCUUCGGUGUGAGGGGGAGAGAGCCUCGUCCCUUCCCCGCGCCGGGAAUAAAGGUGCCUGUGAUGGGGAAAACUCGUACCCUCAGGAGGUGGAAUCCAGAAGCAGGGCAGGUUUUCCCCUCAGGAAGUGGAAGCUAGAAGCAGGACGGGUUUUCUCCUCAGAAGAUGGGAUCCAGACACACCCAUGUUAA